UACGUAGGUGGCAAGCGUUGUCCGGAUUUACUGGGCGUAAAGGAGCGACGCAGGCGGUCGUUCAAGUCGCGUGUGAAAGCCCCCGGCUCAACUGGGGAGGGUCACGCGAUACUGAUCGACUCGAAGGCAGGAAGAGGGUAGUGGAAUUCCCGGUGUAGUGGUGAAAUGCGUAGAGUAUCGGGAGGAACACCAGUGGCGAAGGCGACUACCUGGCCUGUUCUUGACGCUGAGGCGCGAAAGCUGGGGGAGCAAACAGG
rnacentral:rRNA from 1 species